UCCUAGGUUUUUGGCCUUUCUAGUUUUUCCUAGGGAGUUUUUCCUAGCCACCGUGCUUCUUUCACAUGCAUUGCUUUCUGUUUGGGGUUUUAGGCUGGGUUUCUGUACAGCACUUUGAGAUUUCAGCUGAUGUACGAAGGGCUAUAUAAAUACAUUUGAUUUGAUUUGAUACACUGAACAGUUAUACUGACUAGAAUGCCCCCCCCCCCCCGUCUGGUGUAGCCUGAUACACUGAACAGUUAUACUGACUAGAAUGCCCCCCCCCCAAGUCUGGUGUAGCCUGAUACACUGAACAGUUAUACUGACUAGAAUGCCCCCCCCCCGUCUGGUGUAGCCUGAUACACUGAACAGUUAUAUACCCCCCUCCUCCCCCCCCGUCUCGUUGUAACGGUCGACGUCGUAGUGAAUGGACCAAGGCGCAGCGGGUUGAGAGCUCAUGUUAACUUUUAUUGUGAACACCACUAAUAAACAAAACAAUAAACAAACAGUCUUGUAGGCUCACACAACAACCUCCCACCAAUCCCAUGACAAACACAUUCCUAUUUAUAGGACCUUCAAUCAGAGCGAACGAUAGACAGCUGCCUCCAAUUGAAGGCCCCAACCCCAAUUAACUAAACAUAGAAAUAGAAAUGACUAGAGAGAACAUAGAAAUACACUAACAUAGAAAAAUGACAAAAACCCCGGAAUACAUUAACCAAACACCCCUCUACAUACACACAUACCCCGAACCAUAUAAAACAAAUACCCCCUGCCACGUCCUGACCAAACUAUAAUAGCAAAUAACCCCUUUACUGGUCAGGACGUGACGCUGGUGUAGCCUGAAUGACAUGAUGGACAAACAUAGGGAGCUCCUUAGAAAGCUCUGAUGUUGGUAAUACCAUACAAAUGGUUGUUUUGCACAUAAAAGUACAGAAUAUGAGGAUGAGGUUGAGGGUUGUUCUGGAAUUUCAAGAGAGCUGAAUUAUUCCUACUACUAUGGUAUAAAACCACUGUAAGUGUUGUUACAUAGAUGCUGUGUUCACUAUGCAUGAUUAAUACAUAAUUCAAGGUUUAUUUGAUGUAGUAAAUAAAUAAAUGAUUUAUUGAUGUAUAGAUAAGAAUUUAAAUGUGAUGUAACAGGUAAAUUAACGUUAGGCCAUUGUUUGUGUUUUUAUGUUCCAUCCCGGAACUAACGUUCUCUGUUGUGUUACUGCUACGGAAUUUGUUAAUUGACUGUGUGCAAUCUAACUUAAGCAGAUCUAAGUCUGAAUCAUAAUUGUUGAUGGCAGAGGCUAAGAAAGACAGUAAAGGGACUUUCAAGGGACUUUAAGGAUUCAAGAACCUCUUUUCAGGACAAGCAGCCAACGAGUUCUCACGGCGUGACGUGGAUGCAUCGGAGAAAAAGACGUGCAAUGCAAUAAACGCCCGUUUCAAAGAACCAA